CACGUCGCGAGCGAGCGAAGCAGCAAUGCGUCCAGGUCUUUCCUUUUCUUUUUUUUCGAUGUGUGAACCCCACUGCCACAUCACCAUCGUCUUCAAGUUCUAGCCAAGAGACAAUGCACGCACGACGCUACGUUUUCAGUUUCUGUGCAUUUCCUCCCGAAUUGAUUUCGGGCGUUUUAAGCCACCAAUUGACGCACCGUUUCUUCCUACUUAAGCUCCAUUCUCUCCUCUUCAUUUCCCUCCAAAUGGCACAUUCUGAGAGCCCCCAGGCUGCUCGAAUUCGAGCUCGCAUGUCCGCGGUACCGGUGCAGUAUAUCAUCAAUUGCGCGACGGCGGCAAUUUCAUCCGUGAGCGUCGGCCGCGGGAAGAAUUUUUCAGCGAGCGAUUUCGGGAGAGAGCGUGCCUGAACGGUCAUCGUGUAGGCCUUAUGCGACACAUCAACUUCGGAAGCCUUCUUCGGCAACGUUCUCAUCAACCUCUAUAGCUGCGCCAUCGUUUCCGACAUCAUCGACCAUCUGCGCCUGUAUCCUAUUGUGAUUGUGCUGAUUGCAACGAGUGUUUUUGCGAAGAGUGUACCAA